GAUUAACGCUGGCAGUGUGUAUAAUACAUGCAAGUCGACUGCAUUUAGUUGCAGGGCAGACGGGUGAGUAACACGUUGGUAUCUGCCCCAAACUCAGGGAUAACAUCGAGAAAUCGGUGAUAAUACCGGAUAGUCCCGCAAGGGUAAAGCUUCGGCGGUUUGGGAGGAGCCUGCGUAGUAUCAGCUUGUUGGUGAGGUAAAGGCUCACCAAGGCUAUGACGCUUAGCUGGUCUGAGAGGAUGAUCAGUCACAAUGGAACUGAGACACGGUCCAUACUCCUACGGGAGGCAGCAGUAAAGAAUCUUCCGCAAUGGGCGAAAGCCUGACGGAGCAACACUGCGUGGUGGAUGAAGGCCUUCGGGUCGUAAACACCUUUUCUGAGGGAAGAAGUUCUGACGGUACCUCAGGAAUAAGCGACGGCUAAAUACG
rnacentral:rRNA from 1 species